rnacentral:rRNA from 1 species
GGGCCCGCACAAGCGGUGGAGCAUGUGGUUUAAUUCGACGCAACGCGAAGAACCUUACCUGGGCUCGAACGGCCGGUCAACGAUCGUGGAAACACGGUUACCUCGCAAGGGGGUCCGGUCGAGGUGCUGCAUGGCUGUCGUCAGCUCGUGUCGUGAGAUGUUGGGUUAAGUCCCGCAACGAGCGCAACCCUUGUCCUGUGUUGCCAUCAUUCAGUUGGGAACUCUCAGGAGACCGCCAGCGAUAAGUUGGAGGAAGGUGGGGACGACGUCAAGUCAUCAUGGCCUUUAUGUCCAGGGCUACACACGUGCUACAAUGGCCGGUACAAAGCGACGCCAACCCGCGAGGGGGAGCAAAUCGCAAAAAACCGGUCUCAGUCCGGAUCGCAGGCUGCAACUCGCCUGCGUGAAGCUGGAAUCGCUAGUAAUGGCAGAUCAGCAUGCUGCCGUGAAUACGUUCCCGGGCCUU